CGGAAAUAACGGAAAUAACCUCCGAAAGACAGAAACAUACGGCAGAAAAUUAGGUGACAGGUCAAGAACAAGCACGGAAAGAACGGAAAGAACGGAAAGAACCUCCAGAGAGACAGAAACAUACGGCAAAAUAUUAGAUGACAGGUCAAGAACAACAACGGAAAUAACAGAAAAAUCCGAAAAAAGGGAAAUAAUAACGGAAAUAACAGAAAAGAAUAACGGAAAUAAUAACAAAAAUAACGGAAAAAACGGAAAAAACGGAAAUAACGGAAAGAACCUGCAGAGAGACAGAAACAUACGGCAGAAAAUUAGGUGACAGGUCAAGAACAACAACGGAAAUAACGGAAAUAACCUCCGAAAGACAAAAACAUACGGCAGAAAAUUAAAUGACAGGUCAAGAACAAACACGGAAAUAACUGAAAUAACGGAAAUAACGGAAAUAACCUCGACAGAGACAGAAACUUACGGCAGAAAAUUAACUGACAGGUCAAAAAUAACAACGGAAAGAACAGAA
rnacentral:lncRNA from 1 species